GGCAGCACUGCAUUUCAGACAUGGAGAAUCCUCUCCGGUUUCUGAAAAGCGUUCUUGCCACCUGGCUGAGCUCCACUUCCACUUCCUGGGCGAUGGAUUCCAUCCUCGCCUUCUUGUGUGGACUGGGGCUCUUCCUCGUGCUCCUUCCCUCCCUCCACAGGAAUCCAUCCUUACGACCCCCGGUGAAACGGAGAAACGUCAGGAAGCCUCAAGUGGAGCUGAGGGGGAGGAGCAGCAGGAGUCGGAAGAAAAGUGGAGCUCUGCAAAGUAAGCUUCUGACGUUGGGUCCUGUGCCUCGAGAGCUGGCCGUCAUCUCUCCUGUCCCUGGUCACCCAGCUCCAUGGCCUCCGAGGAUGCCAGAGGCAGAGCGUGUCCCUCAGGAAGCAGAGCCCUCUGGGAGGCUCCCAGGAAGGAGAUGAGAACCUAGAUCCUUGCCAGAGUCUGUGCCAGGAAGGAAGCCUCAAGCCCGGAGGGGCCAGGAAAUGGGUGAUGAGUAGCAGGGGCCUGUGGGCUAUAGUGGAUGUGGAGGCACAUUGUCAGUGACAAACCUCAACCCGUCAUGUGCCUUGCCAUCCCCCUCGGGGACCACGUAGCCUUGGACUAUGCUGCUUGGGCUCCAGAGUUGGCCUUCCCUAUGGUCUCCUCUAAAGGGACAUUGCAGGCAGC
rnacentral:lncRNA from 1 species